GACUUUUGCUUAGUGUAUACGAGUUCUUAAAAAGAAAGGAGCAAUAUCAAUCCUCUUGAUAGAAAAAGAGAUUGGUUAUUGCUCCUUUAGCAUAAGGUUUUUUCUUUUUUUUUUUUUACUUCAAUUUCAUAAAAAAAAGUCUUCUUAAUUUAUGAUUGCGUAUCGUUUUUUACGUUUUUGAAUUGGAAUAUAUAUGCUCAAAUUUUUUUACUAAUACAAGUAACUAUUAAAGG
rnacentral:misc_RNA from 1 species